UACGGGGGGGGCAAGCGUUAUUCGGAAUUACUGGGCGUAAAGGGCUCGUAGGUGGCCAACUAAGUCAGACGUGAAAUCCCUCAGCUUAACUGGGGAACUGCGUCUGAUACUGGAUGGCUUGAGAUUGGGAGAGGGAUGCGGAAUUCCAGGUGUAGCGGUGAAAUGCGUAGAUAUCUGGAGGAACACCGGUGGCGAAGGCGGCAUCCUGGACCAACACUGACACUGAGGAGCGAAAGCCAGGGGAGCAAACGGG
rnacentral:rRNA from 1 species